rnacentral:rRNA from 1 species
UACGUAGGGUGCGAGCGUUGUCCGGAAUUACUGGGCGUAAAGAGCUCGUAGGUGGUUUGUCGCGUUGUUCGUGAAAACCUGAGGCUUAACCUUGGGCGUGCGGGCGAUACGGGCAGACUGGAGUACUGCAGGGGAGACUGGAAUUCCUGGUGUAGCGGUGGAAUGCGCAGAUAUCAGGAGGAACACCAAUAGCGAAGGCAGCUCGCUGGGACGGUACUGACGCUAAGGCGCGAAAGCGUGGGGAGCGAACAGG